GUGCCAGCAGCCGCGGUAAUACGUAGGGUGCAAGCGUUAAUCGGAAUUACUGGGCGUAAAGCGUGCGCAGGCGGUUAUAUAAGACAGAUGUGAAAUCCCCGAGCUUAACUUGGGAACUGCAUUUGUGACUGUAUAGCUAGAGUACGGCAGAGGGGGAUGGAAUUCCGCGUGUAGCAGUGAAAUGCGUAGAUAUGCGGAGGAACACCGAUGGCGAAGGCAAUCCCCUGGGCCUGUACUGACGCUCAUGCACGAAAGCGUGGGGAGCAAACAGGAUUAGAUACCCUGGUAGUCCACGCCCUAAACGAUGUCAACUGGUUGUUGGGUCUUCACUGACUCAGUAACGAAGCUAACGCGUGAAGUUGACCGCCUGGGGAGUACGGCCGCAAGGUUGAAACUUAAAUGAAUUGACGGGG
rnacentral:rRNA from 1 species